rnacentral:lncRNA from 1 species
CCCACUUGAAUCCUCCAUCCAAUGGUAAGUAAUUGGACACUUGUUAAAAUCUGGCAGCAUUCUUUUAAAAUAACAGAAACGUGUUUUCGGUAGCUUACGUUUUUGGCAAAGUAAAGCAGCAACUCUCCAAAUUAAUUACAAGAUCCGGCCCAAUUAGCAGGUUUAUUCCAGCAGCUAAUUACUUCGAGCAGCCCAUCAUUGUGCCAUUUUCUCUACAUUCUCCACCUUGGUACAAUGAUUCCAAUAUCAUCUAUGGUGAUCUCUUCGAACAUGACAUCAUGUGCUCUUAUUCCCUGAUACACAAAUCAGCAAAAGUUAAUAUUCAGCUGUUUUAAACAGUUCAAAAACUUGUUUAAAGGCAGCACUUUCGUUCCAACAUCAGCAAGAUUAAAAUGGGUAGAAAUCUUUUCAAGUUUAACAACACCUUGAGAAAUUACAUUUCUAAUAAAAUGAAAUUUCACAUCAACAUGUUUAGAUCUAUUGUGUAACACAGGAUUUCUACUCAAAUAUAUAACAGAUUGACUACCAGAAUGUAAGACAACAUCAUUUAUGAAACCAAAUUCAUUUAGAAGUCCUUUUAGCCAAAUUCCCUCUUUAAUUGCAUCAGUAGCAGCUAUAUAUUCUGCUUCAGUUAAAGAUAAUGCAACAAUCUUUUGUAAUUAUGAUUUCCAACUUAUACAGGAAUUACAUAAAGUGUAUACAUAGGUAGAAGUCGAUUUUCUGUUAUCCCUAUCACCUGCAUAAUCAGAAUCAGUGAAACCCCUCAAGAUAACACCCUCAGAUUGUUUUCUAUACUCAAUUCCUAGGUCACAAGUUCCCUUAAUGUAUCUUAGAAGCCACUUCACCGCUUCCCAAUGAACCUCCCCAGGAUUAGACAUGUAUCUACUCAAUACACUUAUUGCAAAUGCCAAAUCAGGUCUAGAACAAAUCAUUAGAUACAUAACUGACCCCACAGCAUUAGAAUAUGGCACUCUAGCCAUUCUUUUAAACUCUUCUUCAGUUUUAGGACAUUGAUCAUUAGAUAAUUUGAAGUGAUUAGCUAAAGGUAGACUCACACUUUUAGCAUCGGACAUUGCAAAUCUUUCAAGUAUUUUCAAAGCAUAAGAUUUUUGAUUUAGGCUUAGUGUGCCCUCUCUUCUAUUUCUUUUAAUUUCGAUACCCAAGAUUUUUCUAACAGGACCUAAAUCCUUCAUUUCAAAUUCAGAUUUUAAUUUGUCUUUUAUUGAUUCUAUUUCCUUUAUGUCAUGACUUGCUAAAAGCAUGUCAUCCACAUAAAGUAGAAGAUAGAGUGAAUUCUCACCUCCAUUUCCUUUACAAUAAAGACAAGUAUCGAAAUUACUUCUUUUAAAACCAAGUCCAAGCACAAAAGUGUCAAAUCUCUUGUACCAUUGUCUUGGAGCUUGUUUUAAACCAUAAAGUGACUUUUUAAGAAGGCAUACUAAGUCUGAAUUUUUAUUCACUUCAAAGCCUUUAGGUUGUUCCAUAAAAAUAGUCUCUUCAAGAUCUCCAUUUAAAAACGUAGUUGUUACAUCUAAUUGAUCUAAUUCCCAAUUAAAUUGAGCUGCUAGGGUGAGUAUAACUCUAACAGUUGUAAAUUUUACAACGGGGGAAAAUAUUUCAUUAAAGUCUAUCCCCUCCUUUUGAGCAAAACCCUUAGCCACAAGUCUUGUCUUGUAUCUAAUGUCAUUCUCAUCUUUUUCACCUCUUUUGAUCUUAUAGAUCCACUUACAAUCUAUAACUCUCUUUCCCUUAGGUCUUUUAACCAAGGUCCAAGUUUUAUUCUUUCUCAACGAUUCCAUCUCAUCAUGCAUUGCUUCUAGCCAAUGCUUAGAGUCCUUGCUACUCAUAGCAUAUUUAUAAGACUCAGGUUCAUUUUCAAUGAACCCCAGAACAGUGAGAAGGGAUAUUUCAUCAUCAAAUCUCACAGGUGGUCUUAUUUCUCUCCUUUCUUUAUCUCUAGCAAGUUGAUAAUCAUUUAAGGGUUGAUUAACCUCAAAAUCAGAUUCAUUUUGAUCAGUUUCUUCAUCAUUUUGAGCCUCAAUUUCACUGUUUUCAAUCUGAUCAUGUUGUAGAUUAUCAUUAUUAACUUACUCCACCUCAAUUUCAAUUUCCCUUCCUUCAUUUUUAGUCUGACCAGAUUUAGUAGUGUUAUUUUCAGAUUUCAAACAAGGCAGAUCAGAUUCAUUAAACACCACAUUUCUACUUAUAAUGAUCUUAUAACCUUUGGUCUCUCUUACCCAAAGUCUAUACCCCUUCACCAUAGCCCAAAAAAACACACUUAAGGGCCCUAGGUUCAAGUUUUCCUUCAGAUUGAUGUGCAAAGGCUGCACACCCAAAUAUUUUUAGAUUACUCAAAUUUACAGGUUUUCCUGUCCAAACUUCUUCAGGGGAUUUAAAUUGUAUAGCACUGGCGGGGCUUCUAUUUAUGAGAUGACUAGCAGUUUUUGUAGCUUCCCCCCAAAAUAACUUGGGAAGACCAGAACCUAAUAACAUGCAUCUAACUCUCUCAAGAAUAGUUCGGUUCAUUCUUUCAGCCAAGUCAUUUUGUUGUGGGGUGUGUGCCACUGUUCUGUGUCUUAGAAUACCAUGCACUUUGCACAAUUCAUCAAAUUCGUAAUUGCAAAACUCAAGCCCAUUAUCAGUCCUCAACACUUUAAUCUUUUUAUUUGUUUGAUUCUCAAUCAAGAUUUUCCAUUCUUUAAAAUCAUUAAAAGUGUCAGACUUAUGUUUAAGUAGAAAGAGCCAGUUUUUCCUAGAAAAAUGAUCUAUGAUUAAAAGGAAAAAUCUGAAACCAGUAUGUGUGGGCACAGAAGCUGGUCCCCAAAGAUCAGCAUGCAAAUAUUCAAGAAUAGACACAGAUUUAUGCAUCCCAGGCAGAAAUGGUAAUCUAUUUUGCUUUCCUAGUAUGCAAUGAUCACAAAAACUGAGUUUCUCCAUUAUAUCUUUACCAAAGGCACCUUGUUUUUUCAAAAUUUGAAGAUCAUUGUCACUAUUAUGGCCCAAUCUUUUAUGCCAUAAUUGUGACUUAUCAUUGGGGGCAGAAAUUGCUGUUGAUGUGGAGUCAAAAAAGUUUUGAGUAUGUAAAAUGUAAAACCCGUGUCUCUUGGGGGCUUCGGCAACAAGUUGAGAGCCCCUCAAGAUCUUAAUGUAUCCCAUGUUAAUCACAAUUUUGUAGUUCAAGUCAUCUAGAACACCUAAGGAUAUCAAAUUUCUUUGUAGGUCAGGAACAUACCUGGUCUUAUCUAAAAUCAAUUCAUUAUUACCAUCCAACCUUAAGGUGAUUGUUCCUAUUCCUUUAACCUGACAAGACAUGUGACUACCCAUUAACACUUGGCCUCCAUUUACAUUUUCAAACUCACUAAACCAUUCUCUUUUAGGACACAUAUGAAAGGUGCAACCAGAGUCAAGAAUCCACUCCUGACUAGGUGGACUGUGUACAGCAACAUAAACCUCAUCUAUGUUGGUCUCAUUAUUAUAGGCUAAAGCACCACCACCAUCAUUAUUAGACUUAUUUCUCAAAUCAUUAAGUCUCUUUCGACAAUCUUUGAUAAAAUGACCUUCACCUAAACAGUAAAAACACUUUUUACCCUUAGUCUUGGUUUUCAUUUUAUCUUUAAAGUUGACCUUCUUUUUGUGUCCAGGUUGCUUAUUGAAAUUGACAACUUUUGGAUUUGUGUUUGGUUUGGACUUAACCAUCAAAUUUUCACCACUAACAGAUUCCCUCUUGUCAGAUUUUAACUCUAACUCUUUAUUUCUCAAUGCAUUUAUUAUCACAUCAGUAGUUAGAGUCUCCUUUCCAUAUUCAAUAGCAUUUUUGACAUCUUUAUAUUUAUCACUUAGUGAAUUUAACAAAACCACAACCAGCUGCUCUUUUGAGAGUUUCUCAUCACAGUCGGCUAGGUCACGGGAUAAUCUGUUGAAUCUAUCAAUGUUAGCGUCAAGAUCAAGAGAUGGGUCCAAUUUGAAACCAAAAAUUGAUUUAGAAAAUACACUUUAUUAGGCAUGGUUUUAUUCAAAUAAGUAUCUUCCAAUUUUUUCCACAACUCAGCAGCAGUUUUUGUCUCACCAAUUUCUCUCAACACAUUGUUAGAUAAAUGCAAUAAUAUAGAACUCCAUGCAAUUUCAUCAAGUUCAGUUUUCUUAAUUUCUUCCAUAUCAUUAGGCCAUGACUCAUCAAUGGCUUUAGCACAUUUUUGUUGAAGCAAAAGGGCUCGCAUUUUCUGGCGCCAGAGACUAAAGUCUUCUUUACCAUUAAAAAUCUCCAAUUCAACUUUAGUUGACAUUAUCAAAACUCAAUUUGAUAAAAAAAAAAAUGCAGGCAGAUCACAUACAAAUUCAACAGUAUAUUCAACUUGCAGGAACUCAAAUGUCAUAUACCAUAAUCAAAUUUAAAGUGCACAGUUAACAAGUGAGUUAUACAAUACAGAUUAUGCAGUAAGAUCUCAUCAGUCCAUUCACCUCAUGAAUAAGCAGUUUACACAAAAACCAGCAGUGUCAAGUCACAAGUAUAACAUGCCAUAUACAUUAUAAUAAACUCAUGCAGAAAACAUAAAAUUUGUCCAAAAUCGUCAACUUAUAAAUCAAGACAAUUCUUAGAUUCCAGACAACUUACGAUUUCUAGAUAAAGGCAUUGUCAAGAUAAAGUCUCAGAUUUAGGGAUUUUAAGUCAGUUACAAAAGUCUCACAGUAUAGACAAAUAUUAUAUAUGUAACUCGACAAUUAUGAAACGAACUCACCAAAAUCCCUUAUUAGGAUUUCAAGAAAUAAACGAGAUCAACUGAACCANNNNNNNNNNNNNNNNNNNNNNNNNNNNNNNNNNNNNNNNNNNNNNNNNNNNNNNNNNNNNNNNNNNNNNNNNNNNNNNNNNNNNNNNNNNNNNNNNNNNNNNNNNNNNNNNNNNNNNNNNNNNNNNNNNNNNNNNNNNNNNNNNNNNNNNNNNNNNNNNNNNNNNNNNNNNNNNNNNNNNNNNNNNNNNNNNNNNNNNNNNNNNNNNNNNNNNNNNNNNNNNNNNACAACAUUCACUCAAGAAUGAUGAAUCGAAGCCUAUACAAUAAUCACUCAAGAUUAUUUCAACAUAAGCGUCUAUACAUUCGACGAUGGCACAUUCACUCAAGAAUAACACCAAUACACCUUGUUAAAUCACUCAAGAUUAUCUACACAAGGUUGGAUUAAUUUCUCAUCAACAGGGGCUAAUUUUUGGUGUGCAAAAAUUGAUAGAUUGAAGGACCACCGAGAGAGGAGAGAUGAGAGGCAGAGAGGAACUCGUGAGGUGAGAGAAAAUAAGGAAUCUGCUCGUCCAGCCAAGCCCUAGUGCCAAUUAAAUAUGUAUCCCACUUGAAUCCUCCAUCCAAUGGUAAGUAAUUGGACACUUGUUAAAAUCUGGCAGCAUUCUUUUAAAAUAACAGAAACGUGUUUUCGGUAGCUUACGUUUUUGGCAAAGUAAAGCAGCAACUCUCCAAAUUAAUUACAAGAUCCGGCCCAAUUAGCAGGUUUAUUCCAGCAGCUAAUUACUUCGAGCAGCCCAUCAUUGUGCCAUUUUCUC